GAAUGUAUUACUGGGUAACUACUCCUUUGGCAGUUAGUAAGUCAUUUGCUAACACUAACUGCCAAGGGAGAUUUGCCUGCAAUUCAUCA
rnacentral:pre_miRNA from 2 species